CCUACGGGCGGCAGCAGUAGGGAAUAUUGCUCAAUGGGGGAAACCCUGAAGCAGCAACGCCGCGUGGAGGAUGAAGGUUUUCGGAUUGUAAACUCCUUUUGUUAGAGAAGAUAAUGACGGUAUCUAACGAAUAAGCACCGGAUAACUCCGUGCCAGCAGCCGCGGUAAUACGGAGGGUGCAAGCGUUACUCGGAAUCACUGGGCGUAAAGAGAGCGUAGGCGGGAUAGCAAGUCAGAUGUGAAAUCCUAUGGCUUAACCAUAGAACUGCAUUUGAAACUGUUAUUCUAGAGUAUGGGAGAGGUAGGUGGAAUUCUUGGUGUAGGGGUAAAAUCCGUAGAGAUCAAGAGGAAUACUCAUUGCGAAGGCGACCUGCUAGGACAUAACUGACGCUGAUGCGCGAAAGCGUGGGGAGCAAACAGGAUUAGAUACCCGGGUAGUC
rnacentral:rRNA from 1 species